rnacentral:rRNA from 1 species
UACGUAGGGGACGAGCGUUGUCCGGAUUCAUUGGGCGUAAAGCGCGCGUAGGCGGCUCGGAAAGUCGGUCGUGAAAUGCCGGGCUCAACCCCGGACUGCGUCCGAUACUCCCGAGCUGGAGGCAGGUAGGGAGAUCGGAAUUCCUGGUGUAGCGGUGAAAUGCGUAGAUAUCGUAAGGAAGACCAGUGGCGAAGGCGGUCUCUGGACAGUUCCGUGACGCUGAGGCACGAAGUCAGGGAGCAAACGG